GACACUGCUAAACAAAAUCAGAAAACUUAUUUUUGAAGGUAGUUCAACCAGAAAAACUUUAAACUUUACCUUCAAGUUUAAAGUUUUCAACCAGAAAAACUUUACACUUUACCUUCAAAAAUAAGUUUUCUGAUUUUGUUUAGCAGUUUU